rnacentral:lncRNA from 1 species
CAGUAAGACCCCUUUUUGGCCCCAAAAUAUAGCAGUUUUACAAAACUGUUAAAAUGUAAACUUUUAGUUAUUAAUUGGACAGUAGAAUGCUUCUGCUACAUAAAUAUGGGCUGUUUUUGACAAUACAAUGCACAUAUAUCGGGUACUAGCACCAUUAAGUCAUGCUAAAUUACUGAAAUCUUCACAAUUCUAGCAUUUUAGUUAAAUUUUAGACGGUUUUCGUGUAAAACGGAAGUGGCCGCAUUCGUGUUCAUCCUUAAUAUUGAAAUGCAAGUUGUAUUUUAUGAUAAUACAUAACAUAUAUAAAGGUUGAGGAUGAACACGGAUGCGGCCACUUUCAAUUUUGACAAAAACCGUCUGAAAAGUGACAUUUUUCGGCAUAUUUGGUAGAUUUUUCAUAUUUGAGCUUGA